rnacentral:rRNA from 1 species
CGCUUCUUUUUCCACCGGAGCUUGCUCCCCGGAAAAAGAGGAGUGGCGAACGGGUGAGUAACACGUGGGUAACCUGCCCAUCAGAAGGGGAUAACACUUGGAAACAGGUGCUAAUACCGUAUAACAAUCAAAACCGCAUGGUUUUGAUUUGAAAGGCGCUUUCGGGUGUCGCUGAUGGAUGGACCCGCGGUGCAUUAGCUAGUUGGUGAGGUAACGGCUCACCAAGGCCACGAUGCAUAGCCGACCUGAGAGGGUGAUCGGCCACAUUGGGACUGAGACACGGCCCAAACUCCUACGGGAGGCAGCAGUAGGGAAUCUUCGGCAAUGGACGAAAGUCUGACCGAGCAACGCCGCGUGAGUGAAGAAGGUUUUCGGAUCGUAAAACUCUGUUGUUAGAGAAGAACAAGGAUGAGAGUAACUGUUCAUCCCUUGACGGUAUCUAACCAGAAAGCCACGGCUAACUACGUGCCAGCAGCCGCGGUAAUACGUAGGUGGCAAGCGUUGUCCGGAUUUAUUGGGCGUAAAGCGAG